rnacentral:rRNA from 1 species
GAUGAACGCUGGCGGCGUGCCUAAUACAUGCAAGUCGAGCGAACGGACGAGAAGCUUGCUUUUCUGAUGUUAGCGGCGGACGGGUGAGUAACAAGUGGAUAACCUACCUAUAAGACUGGGAUAACUUCGGGAAACCGGAGCUAAUACCGGAUAAUAUUUUGAACCGCAUGGUUCAAAAGUGAAAGACGGUCUUGCUGUCACUUAUAGAUGGAUCCGCGCUGCAUUAGCUAGUUGGUAAGGUAACGGCUUACCAAGGCAACGAUGCAUAGCCGACCUGAGAGGGUGAUCGCCCACCCUGGAACUGAGACCCGGUCCAGACUCCUACGGGAGGCAGCAGUAGGGAAUCUUCCGCAAUGGGCGAAAGCCUGACGGAGCAACGCCGCGUGAGUGAUGAAGGUCUUCGGAUCGUAAAACUCUGUUAUUAGUUAAGAACAUAUGUGUAAGUAACUGUGCACAUCUUGACGGUACCUAAUCAGAAAGCCACGGCUAACUACGUG